rnacentral:lncRNA from 1 species
UGGGCAAAUAUUUCUUGAUAAUCCACUCCAUGGGUUUGGAUAAACCUUUCAGCAACCAAUCUGGGCUUAAACUGUUCAAUUGUGCCAUCAACUUUACACCCAACAAGUUUCUUUCCAGGUGGGAGAGUAACAAGCUCCCAAGUCUCAUUUUUUACCAGUACUUUCAUCUCAUCAAUAAUUGCUCCCUUCCAUUUAGGAUCUACAAGAGCUUCCUCUCAAUCCUGUGGAAUAGAUACAGAGGAAAUAGAUAAAGAAAAGGUUUUAUAGGAGGGAGACAAAGAUUCAUAAGAAAUAGAGUGUUUAUACAAGAUCUGACACAUUUUCUUUGUGCAAUAGGUUCAUCUAAAUUAUUAAAGCAUUCAAGAGUUGUGGGUAACUCACCAGAAGAAGAUUCUUCUUCUGCCUUGUCUCUCCUCGUAUACCUCCUCAAAUCUGGUUUGUCCAGACGUCCAAUUCUCCCAUCUGAUCGGAUAUCUCUCCCUGUCUACUAGAACUAUCUCUCGAAACCAUGUCAUUUAGAAUAAUAGAAUUCGGGAUCACCUCUUCUUUCUCAUUAUUCUCCUCUUGAAGAGGUGAGUGGGUGGUACUAAAGUAGGGUCAGUUUCUCGAAAGGUAACAUCCAUACUGACAAAGUAUUUUCUAGAUAGAGAAUGAUAACACCUGUAUCCCUUCUGUGUCGAAAGAUACCCAACAAACACACAUUUAAGGGCCUUGGGAUCCAAUUUUCUCGCCGUCCUAGUAUGGACAAAGCAAAUACACUCAGAUACUUUUGGUGGAACAAUACAUGAAUUCCUUCCUUGUAGAACCUCCAAAGGACUCAUGAAAUCAAGAGCUUUGAGGGGCAUUCUAUUGAUAAGAUAAGCAGAUACAAGGACUGCUCUUCCAUUGUCAAUUCUCAAAAUUUUUACCUUAAUAUCAAAUUGAGUACAAAACAUCUUGUGAAAGGAUUAAAAACAAGAAAAAACAUCACUUUUUGCUUUAAUCAAAUAGACCCAAGUCAUUCAAAUGCAACAAUCAAUAAAGGUGACAAACCAUUGAUACCAAACAAGGAGAUAGUUUGAUUAGGCCCCCAAACAUCAUAAUAAAGUCAUAAAAGGAAUUUGGCUUUUAUUAUGACUUAAAAGAUAGGAGGUUUUAGUGUAAUUAGCAUACUCACAAGUAUCACAAAAUAAAGAAUCAAACUAAGUUCUAGUAAACAAAUUAGGAUAAACUUUUUCUAAGAUAAAAAAUGGAUGCCUUAACCGCCUGUAUCACUGUAAUAUUUCCUGAUUGACAUUCUUAUUUUCUCCAAAACAGGCUUGAGAUAUCGGAGAACCUGGAUCACCGUCCAAUAUGUAUAAGCCAUCACGCAAUCUACCAUUGCCAAUCCUCUUCCCGGUGAGAAAAUCCUAAAUAACAUAAUGAUCAAGAAAAAACUCAAUUUUAUAGUUAGAAGCAUUAGUGAUAGCACUGACAGAUAAAAGGUUGACAGGAAAUUGAAAACUCGAAGGAUAGAUGAUAAUUUAAUAUCGAACGCACAAAUAACAGAACCUAUUCCGAAUAUGGGAUUAAAAGAGUCAUCAGCAAUUCUGAAACUGCAUUUGCUUAGGGAAAGAAAAUAAUUAAAAAAGCCUUUAGAAGAGCCUGUCAUGUGUCUAUUCGCACCAGAAUCAAUAAUCCAUGUAACAGUUUCAAGAGAAAAAGCAUUACCUGACUUUACAAAGUUAAAUGUAACACCAGACUCCAAGGGAGGAAGAGGUGUCAAUAUGAGACACGAAGCGCUUCAGACCCUUAAUUUCAUUAGAGGAAAGAAACUCAGCAGUUGUUGUCUCCUUAAAGGGCUCCUCCACACGUCUGCUAAAUUAGCUUGAGCUCUAGAGGUACCUCGUUGUUUCCUCCACGGCCUCUAGUGGGACGACCAUAUAACUUCUAGCAAGUCUUCUUGGUAUGCCUCAGUUUCCCAUAAUAGUCACAAUGAUUGUGAUCUUUCUUAGAAUUAGGAGGCUGCGGGUGCUCAAAUUAGUAGACAACCCAGCCUUUUCAACUGGUGCGGUGCAGUAUAGAGCAUAGCAUGUCGGCAACUUUCCUCCUGUUGAACAUGCACAUGGGCCUCUUCCAAAAAANNNNNNNNNNNNNNNNNNNAAAAAAAAAAAAAGAUUUUUCCCCAACACUUAGACCCGAAUUGAAUCAUAUUCAUUAUUCAACCCUGCAAGAAAAUCAUAGACCCGCUCCCUUUCAAUCAUUUUCCAAAAUUUGACUGCAUCUCCAGCAUAGUUUGCAUCUCCAGUACAGUCUGCAUCUCCAGUACAAUCUGCCUGGAAGUCCUGAUAGUAAUCAAGCUCCUGCCAUAAGCCACAUAACUCAGAAUAAAAUUGCAAGAUAGUCAUUUCUCCUUGCUUAGUACCAUGGAUCUUAUUUCGAAUAUCAUAAAUUUGGGUAUCAUUCCCAAUCUUGGAAUAAGUUAAGGAUAAAGCCUUCCAUAUUUUUGCACUAGUAUCAAUUAACAAACAGGACUUAAAGAUAUGUGGUUGCAUAGAGUUAAGUAAUCAUGUCAUAACAAGACAAUUAUCUAAUUCCCAUUGAAAAAAAUUUGGAUCCCUCUCGUCCGGUUGCUUCUUAUUACCAGUGAUAUAGCUAUGCAGUCCUCUAGCCUUGAUAAACAACAAACAAGACCUUGACCAAGGAAGAUAAUUGAUUCCAUCAAGUUUUACGAGACUAAUUUGCAAGGAAAGAUUAUCAGAGUUAGGAAUCGAGACCUUUUUGCCUUCUGCCCAUGGUAAAAAUAAAUGAACCGUGAAAGAAUAGAAAAUACCUAAGGUUGUACACACAAGAGAGCCAAUCGAAUUACCAAAAGACCAAGUAGCAGCACCGGAUGGUUGGAAAGAGGAUCGAAAUUGGUACCAGAGUGAUCGGAGCGGCGAAGCAGCAUCAGACAGAUCUCACACCCUAGGAAGGAGGGCGCGUGAGCCUCAUGCGCAUGGCUUUCCAGCGUCAAAGCGGGUGGUCUGUCCGGCAAUGAUCCAGCGGUUCUCUUGGUGGCGACAGUAAGAUGUGAAAAGAUCCUCUAGAUAGAGUAGUAUCAAAAAGAUAGAUCUAAGGUUUUAGAAACCCUAAAGAAGAAAAUUUGAAUGUAAACCCUAAAAUCAAAAAAAUAUUGUGAUACCAUGAAGAAUUUUGGAGAAUUUUAGAGUAUUUCUAUAUUUCACACUUCAUCUUUACAAGUGAUUUACAUGACUAUUCAUACACAAAACAUUACAACUAAUAAGAAGCAAAUAAUCAAAAAAUAAUUAUAGACAUAAUUAAGGAUCCUAAUUUAUGUCUAGAAUCCGUAAUCAAAUCAAAUCAUAUCACUGGAAUCAGCAAAUAAGUCAACAAUAAGUUAACUAUAAUAAAGGACAACAAAAAUUAGGAACAAAUCACUUCAUAAUUUUUAGAUGGUAAAAACAAGAAAGAGAACCCUAGGGGACAGUGCAAGCCAAUUUUAAAAGAAAUAUAUCCUUUUCAACCUUUUUUGCUCUAUUAGUCAAUAGACUACAAAAUCUUUUAAGAUUAUAUACAAAUACAAUUGUUGACCAACAUAAAGGAUUCCUAAUGUUUAGGCAGAUUUUUGGAUUCUAAUUAUGCUUGAUUAUAGGAAUUUUAUUUCCUACCUUUAUUAUAGAUAUUCCUAAUUAGGUGUGUUAUAAAUAUUUCUAAUUAGGUUGAUUUUGUGUAUAAAUAGCCAAACAUUGUAAAGAUCAAUUCAAUUGUAACAUUAAAAAAAAAAUUCCUCUCAAAAUUCUACAUGGUAUUAGAGCAUAAGCCUAAUUUAGGGUUGUAAUUCAAUUUUAAAUUUUCAAAAUCUUAAGCAAUCAAAUUUGGUACUCUCCGGUCUAAGCCUAUUUUCUUUCAUCACCGCCACUUCCCAUCGAGUCGCAGCCUUCUCGAAGGUUGUCCGCCAGUCUCCGGUGAGCUGUCCACCAGUCUCUGGUGAGCCAUCCGCUAGCGCACGAGUCUCACGCGCCACCCAUUGCCAGCGCGUGAGACUGUUUCUAGCAAGGAUCUUCACGUCUAUUCGCCGUUGUUGACUCUGGACUCCUGUUUCCGGCCUUCUGCUGUUGUUUCUUGCUCUGUUGAUUUGUUGCUGUGGGCAGACUCUUUAUCGUUGUUUUGGAUAUUCCUUUUGCUUUGUUGCUGCUGUUUACUGCGCUAGAAGCAUAAAGAAUUUCUUGUGGAGUUGGGUGUUGAUUGGGUAUUUGUUUUAGUUGGACAAUCUCUUUCCCGUGAUGGGUUUGUUGUUUUUCUAAUAUGUCGUCUCUUGAUGCUACUCCAUAGAUUAUUGAUUUCGGUGCAAAUAGACAUAUGAUAGACUCCUCUAUAAGCUUCCUUAAUUACCUUCCAUAUCCAUAAAUUUGACCAUUUGACGUAGCUUAGAUGGUAAAAACAAGAAAGAGAACCCUAUGGGACACUGCAAGCCAAUUUUAAAAGAAAUAGAUCCUUUUCAACCUUUUCUGCUCUAUUAGUCAACAGACUGCAAAAUCUUUUAAGAUUAUAUACAAGUACAAUUGUUGACCAACAUAGAGGAUUCCUAAUUAGGAAGAUUCAAUCACUGUUUGGGCAGAUUUUUGGGAUUCUAAUUAUGCUUGAUUAUAAGGAUUUUAUUUCCUACCUUUAUUGUAGGUAUUACUAGUUGUGUUGUAAAUAUUUUUAAUUAGGUUAAUUCUUUGUGUGUAACUACCCAAACAUUGUAAAGAUUAAUUCAAUUGGAAUAUAAUAAAAAAUUUCUCCCAAAAUUCUACAACAAUACUAACUAAAAGUCAAGUAUGAUAUUGAAGGAUUUACUGAAGCACUAUAUAUAGCCCUCUGCAGGCGGCUUUGCCAAUUUCUCCGUGAAUCACCAGAAUCACAUAGCAGUAUUACUGAAUUCACAUCUUCUACAACCUACACACAAAUUCAAUAUGAAAAUGAGAUGAUGUUUAAGGAGAUAAUUCAAAUAUGAAUGGCCACUCUGGGAACUAAAAGGAUGACAAGAUACAAACACAACAAGUGCAACCUUGUUAACAGGACGUCCAGUAUCACAGAUGGCCAAUACAUGAUGCAUACCACCAACCAAUUCAGCUGGAAGUUGAUAUAAUUGUUUUCCUCGCAAACUACAGCAAGCAUAUGAAUAAACCCAAUCAAUAAAAAACCAUUAAACCUUCCAUAAUUCAUAGAAGUACACAACUCAACCAAUAGAACAUAUAUCUGAAACUCUGGGUUCUGCUGUACAAUUUUCCAUGCAAAUUUUUUAGCACUUACCACAUCGAGACCUGCAAGAAUUCUUGACAUUUUUCCUUUUUUUUUUUUUUUGUUGUUGCACAAAGUUAACAAAGAAAACUUGUUAAACACUUUACUCCAUGCAGUAAAGCUAUGUCAACCAAAGGCAACCCCACUUUCUUGAGGCUUGAAACUUGAAAGUUGAAACAGAACAUAAUCCAUAUAUCAGAAUUUCCUUCCAAAUAAGCUGCAACUUGAAUUGCACAAUGUUGUUUUUUUCACAACAAAAAUAUUACAAUUUUCCAUUAAUCUCCUAAUGGAUAUGGAAAUAUGCAUGUGCAAGCAUGAAAUUUGUCUUAUUUUUACUACUGUGCGAUGUUGUGCAAAUGUUCAGCACAUUCCAUUACCACUGCUCAUUUCUCCUUAUUUCUAACUGAUUUUUUCAUGAAGUAGAACAAAAUAAGUUUCAAACAGCAUCUAAUGUCAAAUUUUGGGGAAUAUGAACAGCAAUUGAAAAAUGAACAUAAUAAUGUAUAUUGACAAGAAUAAUAUGUACAUGUAAUUCAAUGAUAAGAACAUUUGAUAUAAAUAACCAACCACACACUUUUGUCAAGACUCCCCUGUUUGAUGUCAAGUUUUUCAUUUUCUAAAUCCAUAUUUAGAUACAACUAUACACAAGGCCCAUAAAAAAUUGGUGCUAAGAAUUUGGUUUCUUAACCUGAGAUACUGUUUGUAAGAUUUAGAACUAGAGUCUUCCAAUAAAUAAAGAAAAGGCCCAACUAAGCAGAGGUAUCGACGCUGCCAUUCAGCUGCCCUAUUUGCCACGCCCUGUCACAUAAAAAUUAUGAAGCAAAAUCAAAAGCUAAAAAGAAGAAGUAACUCAUUGUCAAAAGGCUCGCCCUGUUUUUCAAUAUUGAACCAGGUUUUCAAAUAACAGUAUCAGCAUCAGUCAAUCUGUUACAGUUUUGCACUCAAUUGCACUUCAUGAACAUUUUUAAAGUUCAUAUCUCAUAAAAAUGAUAUCGAUAUUGAAACAUGGAUUUGAUUUCAUAUGCACUUUACUCAGAUAAUAGCUAAAGGAAAUAGCUCGUCGCUCGUUUAAAUAAAUUCAAUUAUUAAACCUAAAAUUAUGAAGCAUUCAAUUCAUAUGUUCAAAUAACAUCAUCUCUUAUGUAUCUAACAACAUUGAACAUUUCACAGCAAAUAACAAGUAAAAGAAAAUAAUAAGAAUUAAUAAAUAAGACCUCUUGAAGUAUAAAUUAACAAAUUUUGCUGACUUAGAACAAAUUAAAAUUGGCUAAAAUGGCAGAAAAGAGAAGCGCUAUAAAAAAGGAAAGAAAUCACAAAAGGAUCUCUCUCGCAUAAAAAGGAAGAGGCUAUUGUUCCAUGACUGAGACAUCAAUAUGCAUCUCAGUCUAUUUCAGACAUAUUGUUCUAUAUAAACCAAUAAUGAUAGUAUGGCUAUAAAUCCCAAAUCACAGUCCUAUACUCCUAUUAUACCCUGUCCUAUAUUGUCAAUUGCACCUUCAAAUUCCAUGAUGAUCUACCCAAUACGGAUGUACAGCCAAUUUUUGAAAGCCUGCAUUCAAACACCAGGAGAGAGAGAGAGAGAGAGAGAGAGAGAGAGAGAGAGAGAGAGAGAGAGAGAGGAAGGAGAAUAAGAAGAAGAAGAAGAAAAAACCUUUCGAAUAAGAAGAUGCAACCACCCUUCAAAGUCCGCUUGAUCCCAAAAACAAAGAAGACUUGAAUUCUCAGCAUCCUCAUCCUGAAACAUCCUUGCUACCUGCAUCAACCGAUGGUACCGUGCAGGAGAAAAGUGAAACCCUAAUGACGGCAACCGCACAGAUAGUCUUGUGGAAGGAUAGGAUGGGUUUUCUAAUCGAAUCUGCAUAUGACGUGAUGUUAGUUUCUAACUCAAAAGGUAAUCAACUACCACAAUCAUGCAUGUAAUAGAUGAAAACCAUGCACACAACAUAUACAGGUGCAUGUACACAAGCCGACACCAGUAAAAUGUUAUAACCCAAAGUGGAAGCAUCCACAUUUUUACCUGUUGAAGCCUUACAAUUACUCCACACUUAUCAAUAACAGGCAAGAAGCUAACACCAUUUGAUUUGCCAGAAUCAGCAGACUUGCGCAAAGGGGCUUGACUCCAGUUGUAGUCACCAUCAACCAAAAAGGCAGAGAUGUCACUCAAAACCAAAUCAAACUGCAAGUACAUAUUGAGCUCCUCAGAUGGUCUCCUUUUAUUGUCAUCCUGCAUACAUUUGAAAAAUCCAUAUAAAGCAUAACUCUGCAUUCCAAAAUGCCAAGAUCGAGUUCAUUGAUGAAGAUGAACCUGUGAGCGAAUCACCAAAUUUCCCAAGUCUAGCAAAAGUUUUGUUGCAUGGACGUUGUUAGGACGAAAUUCAGUAGGAAUUGUAAUUUUUGGAGCCGCAAUGUCCAAGUCCAACAGAAACCUAAUCAGCAUAUAGAUGCAAAAUGUCAUUUUCUACCAGUUAAAUAUGUCUCCAACACACCCCCACAUGCAAAUGCCACUGGGCUUGAAGCGUGAACAAACACAUGCCCACUUUAUCUUAUGCUAUAUCAAUAAAUGGAGGUAGUGAGAAUUCUAACUGUAGACCUUUUUAGUCUGACAGGCUCUAAUGCCAUGUCAAGGAACCACUUCACCUAAGCUUGUAGGUGAAAGCCCCAGUAAUAGUCAUAUAUCUCCAACAUCAACUAACAUAUUACUAGCCUAGGUAACUGGCAGUAUGCAGCUUUCAAUACAGUCGCAAACAUUUGCACAUAGUUAAUAUUAAAAUUAAAUAAUGCCACAGAACAUAGCUCUAACUCUACAAAUAUUUGCUGAUGGGCUUUUAACAAUCCAUAGGGAAUCUGCUUUGCAACCUUCCACCAAAGUACCAAGUUGCAAGGAAUAUCCAUAAACCUUGUACAAUAAUUUCUCAAGACAUAUUAAUAAACACGAAACAUAAUGGAGAUAUUCAAAACUAUAAGCAUGUAUUUACACGGAAACGAUCACUUUUCAUUCGAUAGAAGAAGAUUAUUAGUGAAGAAAGAAGAGCAAUACAAAUUGGACAACAACACGACCUCCCGUCAAAGAAAGAAGAGAAGUAUGACAAAAGAACAAAACUAAUAAAAUAGCCCGUGUCAACAUCAGCCAAAAGCACUCCUAAAAGAUGACAUAAAGAAAAAACUCAUAAAAGAUCCAAAAGAUAACACCAUAUGAGUUCUACAACUAAAUUUAUACUUUUAUAAAAAUGUCAAAGAACAAUCAUUACAACCCUUUUUCAAAUGGAAAACCAAAACAGAGAUACCAACCUUGCUUGAUCUUUCAAAGCUCUGUUCACUUGUUGUUGAGCAGUGCGCUUGACUCCAUCAAUGGUCAUCUGGUUACCAAAGGAGGAAAAAUGUUGACUUAUUUGCCGAUUUCUAAUUAUAUGAUUUGAUUAAAUUACAAAUUCUAGACAUAAAUUAAGAUCCUUAAUUAUCUUUAUAAUUUUUUUUUAUUAUUUAUUUCCUAUCUAGUUGUAAUUCUUUGUAUAUAGAUAAUCAUGUAAAUCACUUGUAAAGAUUAAGAGUGAAAUAUAAGAAUACUCUAAAAUUCUCCGAAAUUCUUCGUAGUAUCAAAGCUUUUACCUUAUUUUAGAGUUUAAAUUCAAUUUUUUCUCUUUAGGGUUUCUAAAACCCUACAUCUACGAACUUUUUUCGUCUCACCGCCGCCACCAGCAGGGUCGCCGGACUGUCGCCGGCCAAUUGUCCAACUUCGAUGCCAGAAAUCCACACGCGUGAGGCUCACACGCCCUUCCUUCCCAGCGCGUGAGGUUCAAUCCAAAGCUGCUAUGCUGCCCAUACAACCCUGGCACCGUUCCGGCCAUCCCAUGCCGCUACCCGGUUUCUUGGUAAUUUGGUUGGACUCUCUUGUGUAUACAAUCUUGAGUACCUAACUCUGAUAAACCUUCCUUGCAAAUUUAUCAGAAACUGUGGAGGAGCUAUUUAAGGAGACAACAGCUGCUGAGCUCCUUCCCCCUAAUGAAAUUUAGAGACCCAAGUGCUUCAUGUCUCAUAUUGACACCUCUUCCUCCUCUGGUGUCACAUCUAAUUUUGUGAAGUCAGGUAAUGCUUUCUCUCUUGAUACUAUUUUAUGGAUUAUUGAUUAUAGUGCGAAUAGACACAUGACAGACUCUUCUAAAGAUUUUCUCAAUUAUUUUCCUUCUCUAACGAAAAAUAGUGUCAGAAUUGCUAAUGACUCUUUUACUCCCAUAUUCGGAACCGUUCUGUUAUUUGUGCACCCUGUUAAAUUUGGGCCAGGUCUAACUCACACCAAAAGCUAGCUCAAGGGGUAGGAGUGCCUAUAGCCCAUAGAAGGGGCACAUUACCCCUUUUCACAAGCGAUGUGGGAUUCAACACACCCCCUCACGCUCAGAAUUUUAUUGGUGUGUGACAUAUUUAUAGGAGGCCCAACAUCAGAUGGGGAGGCUCUAAUACCAUGUUAAAUUUGGGUUAGGCCUAACUCACCCCAAAAGCUAGCACAAGGGGGAGGAGUGCCUAUAGCCCAUAUAAGGGGCACAUUACCCAUUUCCACAACCGAUGUGGGAUUCAACACACUCAAUAUUAAAUUGUCAUCUGUCCUCCAUACUCCCCAUUCUCCCAUCAACCUUUUAUAUGUCAAUGCCAUCACCAAUGCUCUUAACUGUAAAAUUGAAAUUUUUUUUUUCUAAUUAUUGUGUUAUUCAGAAUCUUUUCACAAGGAAGAGGAUUGGUAAUGGUAGACUACAUGAUAGCUUAACCAUGUUGGAAGGUGAUGUAAGUUCUCCAAUAUCUCAAGCCUGUUUUGGAGAAAAUAAAGAUGCCAAUUAGAAAAUAAUACAGUGACGCAGACGGUUAGGGCAUACAUCGUUCUUUAGAAAAACUUUAUCCUAAUUUGUUUGCUAGAACUCAGUUUGAUUCUUUAUUUUGUGAUGUUUGCGAGUAUACUAAGCACGCUAGAAUCUCCUAUCCUUUGAGUUAUAAAAAGCCAACUUCCUUUUGUGACUAUUCAUUAUGAUGUUUGGGGGCCUACUCAAACUGUCUCUUUAUAUAGUAAUUAAUGGUUUAUCACUUUUAUUAAUUGUUGCACUCGAAUGACUUGUGUAUAUUUGAUUAAAACUAGAAGUGAUGUCUUUUAUUUUUUUCAAACCUUUCACAAAAUAAUUUGUACUCAAUUUGAUACUAAGGUGAAAAUUUUGAGAAUUGACAAUGGAAGAGAAUAUAUGAAUAUUACAUUUUCUGCUUAUUUGGAGUCCAAUUGAUAGUACACCAAAUAAGUUGUCCUUAUACUAGUGCACAAAAUAGAGUUGCUGAAAGCAAAAACAAGCAUCUAUUGAAGAUAGUUCGAUCUCUUAUGUUCACCAUGAACCUAUCCAAAGCAUAUUGAUAGAUGCAGUCCUUGUAUCUUCUUAUCUUAUCAAUCGUAUGCCCCUUAAAGCCCUAGACUUUGUUAGUCCUUUGGAGGUUCUACAAGGACGGAAUUCAUACAUUGUUUCACCAAAAGUAUUUGCGUAUGUUUGCCUUGUGCAUACUAAAACAGUAGGAAAGUUGGACCCCAAGCCCUUAAAUGUGUGUUUGUUGAGUAUUUUCCGACACUUAAAGGAUACACAUAUUAUCAUCCUCCAUCUAGGAAAUACUUUGUCAGUAUGGAUGUUGAAACUGAACUCCACUUUAGUAACACCGACUCACCUCUUCAAGAGGAGAAUAAUGAGAAAGAAGCGAUGAUCUCGAAUUUUGUGAUUCUGAAUGAUAUGGUUCAAAGGCAAAGUUCUAGCAGACAGAGGGAGACGUCUGAUUCUGAAUGAUAUGGUUUAGAGGCAAAGUUCUAGCAGACAGGGGGAGACAUCUAAUCAGAGGAGAGAAUAGGACAUUUGGACAAGCCAAAUUUGAGGAGGUAUUCGAAGAGAGAGAAGACAGAAGAAGCAAUGAUGCCAGCCUAUUUGGAGUCAAGAAUUUUCUUUUGGCGAGUUACCCUCAAAUCUUGAAUGCUCCAAUAAUUUAGAUAAACCUAUUGUACAAAUAAAAGGUGUCAGCUCUUGUACCAAAUACCCUAUUUCUAACUUUAUUUCUUAUGAAUCUUUGUCUCUCUACUAUAGAGUCUUUGCCUUGUCUAUUUCCUCUGUGUCUAUUCCACGGAAAUGGAAGGAAGCUCUCGCAGAUCUUAAAUGGAAGGGAGCAAUUAUUAAAGUGAUGAAAGCACUAGCAAAAAAUGAGACAUGAGAGCUUGUCUUUCUCCCACCUGGGAAGAGACUUAUUGGCUGUAAGUAGGUACUCACAGUGAAACACAAAGUUGAUGGUACAAUUCAACAGUAUAAAGCCAGAUUGGUUGCUAAAGACUUCACCCAAAUCUAUGGAGUGGAUCAUCAAGAGACAUUUGUCCCAGUUGCAAAAAUAAACUCAAUCAAUCAGAGUGUUGUUAUCUUGUGCAACCAAUUUGGACUGAGACUUACAUCAAACGAAUAAUACAUUCCUCCAUGGAGAUUUAGAGGAAGAGGUGUUCAUUGAGAUUCCUCUUGGGUUUGCUGAUGAGAAGACACAAAGAAAGUUGUGCAAAUUAAAAAAGGCUUUGUAUGGGCUAAAACAAUAUCCCAGAGCUUAGUUUGAUAAGUUUAACAGAGCCAUGAUAUCCUUUGAUUACCAACAGAGCAAUGCUAAUCAUACUCUGUUUAUUAAACAUCACAAGGGUAAUAUCACACUUCUUAUUGUGUAUAUUGAUGAUAUAGUGGUGACAGGUGAUGACAAAAAGAAAAUGGCUUAGCUAAAAAGGUUGUUGGCUCAAGAAUUUGAAAUCAAAGAUCUAGAAAAGUUUCAAUAUUUCCUAGGUAUUGAGGUGGCCAGAUUAGAAAAAGGGAUCUUUAUCUCCCAAAGAAAGUACAUUUUGAAUCUUUUGAAAAAAACUGAUAUAUUGGGGUGUAAACCAACAGAAUCUCCCAUUGAAAGUAAUCACAAGAUGCAAGCAAGAGCUAGUGAGUCUGUGGAUAUUGGAAGCCGGAAAAUGUUCCCAAAAUGGCAUUUCGGAUCCACUUUAGACACUAUGAAUUCCCUGUGAUGCCUUUUGGUCUCACCAACGCCCUAAAAAUGUUCCAAGCAACCAUGAAUGACAUAUUUUGGCCUUCACUCCACCGUUUUGUGUUAGUCUUCUUUGACCACAUACACGUUUAUAGUCGCUUAUAGGAUGAUCACGUGUCCUAUAUGGAUCAAGUUCUUCGACUGUUAUCAUCUAAUCACUUGGUAGCCAACAUGAAGAAAUGCUCAUUUAGAAAGAGGUCUCUCUCUUUCUUAGGACUUUUAAUAUAUGUCGGAGGUGUGUCAAUGGAUCUGGAUAAAAUUGAGCAGUGCUACAGUGACCUGUUCCUAACUUAGGAAAAGAUGCAAGGGGUUUGUUAGGGCCCAUAGGAAAUUAUCGCCAAUUCAUUCAACAUUAUGGUGAAAUUGCACAGCCCCUAACUCAUCUAACAAAUAAGGUAUCCACAAUAUUUUGUUUAGGAUUCUGCUGCGCAAGAAGCAUUUGAAAAGUUGAAGGCUACAAUUGACCAACUCUAGUAUUAUUGAUGCCUGAUUUUCACCAAUCAUUCUAUUGACCAAUAUAGAAUGUUCCUAGUUAGGAGGAUUCAGAUAUUUGAAAUCCUAAUUAGGCUUAAUUAUAGGCUAGAUUAUAGAGAUUUUAUUCUUAUUGUAAAUAUUCUUAAUUUAGAUUGAUUCUUUGUGUAUAAAUACUCAAACCUUGUAAAGAUCAAUUCAAUUGGAAUAGAAUUAAAAAUUCCUCCUAAAAUUCUUCAUGGUAUCAAAGUAUUGCCACUUUAAUUGGCAUAGGUUUCAAAUAUGUCACAAAAAGUUAAGGUUAACUAAUAGGUCAAGCUUCUAGGUGACUAUAUCAAGGGAGUUGUUCGACACCCCCUGUACCGGAAGAAAGCCCAUCAAAUUUGCAGCCGAUACCCCGCGAUGUGACCCUGCUCUGAGCACAUGCGUGUCCUCACACGAUGCCACAGCAUUUCGCGUCUCCUUCCAUGCGCCGGCGUGUGAGCCUUUCUCCGGCGUUCUUUUCUUUCAGCGCUCCUUUCCGGCCCUCUUUCAAGAAUGUCGUGUCUCCGACCGGCCAUUUUCCAUGACUGGAUUCUCCUUUGGAUUUUUCAAGGUGUGUUAACGGUAACUUGAUCAUUACUGCCUCUUUGUGUUACUGGCCCCUUUUACCUUUAAAAUGUCAUAUAAGAAAGGCACUAAUGGAGGUGAAGUAUGUUUUUUGAUACUCCUCCAUAAAUUAUUAAUUCUGGUACAAAUAGACGCAUGACAGGUUCCUCUAAAAGCUUCCUUAAUUACCUUCUGUAUCUACAAAAGGACACAGUUAGAAUAGCCUAUGGUUCUUUUAUUCCUAUCUUCGAAAUCGGAUCAAUUGUUUGUACUUCUAAUAUUAAGCUAUCAUCUAUUCUCCAUGUUCAUCAUUUUCCUGUUAAUCUUUUAUCUGUUAGUACUCUUACCAAAACUCUUAACUGUAGAAUUGAAUUUUUUUCCCUACUAUUGUGUUAUUCAAGACCUUCAAACUAAGAAGAGGAUUAGCUAUGGUAGACUACAGGAUGACAUAUAUGUUGGAAGGAAAUCUGAGUUUGAAAUCACCUCGGGCACUUUUUGAAAGAAAUCAAGUUGUCAACCAGGAAAUCAUAUAGUGGCAUCGACGGUUAGGACAUCCAUCCUUUUUUAUUUUAGAGAAACUUUAUCCUGAUUUAUUUUUCAAGGCUCCAUGUGGUUCUUUAGUUUAGUUUGUGAUACUUGUGAGUAUGCUAAGCAUACAAUAAUCUCGUAUUCCUACAACAACAAUAGAAAUAUGAUCCCUUUUGUGAUCAUCUAUUAUGAUGUUUGGAGACUUACUCAAACGAUCUCAUUAUCUGGUAAUUGUUGAUUUAUUACUUUUAUUGAUUACUGCUCUUGCAUGACUUGGGUUUAUUUGAUAAAGGCAAAAAGAGAUAUGGUUUCUUGCUUUCAAUUUUUUCACAAGAUGAUUUGUACUCAAUUUGAUGCUAAGAUAAAAGUUAUGAGGACUGAUAAUAGUACAGAGUACAUAGAUGGCCAUUUUUCAACUUAUCUGGAGUCUAAUGGGAUGUUGCAUCAAACUAGUAGUCCUUACUCUAGUUAAUAGAAUAAGAAUGGCUCAUCAUGAACCUUCCAAAAACCUAUUAGGAGAUUUGGUCUUAGCCGCAAUUUAUCUCAUUAAUAGAAUGGCUCUCAAAGCUCGUCUUUAAGAGCCUUAGGUGCUAUAAGGGAAAAAUGCUUGUAUUGUUCCACCAAAGAUAUUUGGAUGCACAUAUUUUGUUCAUACUAAGACAAGUAGGAAGCUCAAUUCGAGAGUUCUUAAAUGUGUGUUUGUUGGGUACUCUCCCACACAUCAAGUUACAAGUGUUAUCACCCUCCAUCUAGAAAAUAUUUUGUCACUAUGGAUGUUACAUAUAGAGAGUCUGAACCUUACUUUAGUACUACCCCAUCACCUUAGGGAAAGAACAAUGAGAGAGAAGAGAUGAUUCCUAGUCUUAUAACUCUAGAGGAGACUACUAUACAGAAGGAGACUAUUGGUGAUCAGGAAAAGAUAAUUAGGCAUUUAAAUAAACCAGAUUUAAAGAGAUACUCAAGAAGAGACACAACAAAAGCAGAAAAAGAUAUUGUGCAGCCUACUUAGUGUCAUGAAUCUUCCUCUUCUCCAUCGAGUGAGUCAUCCCUAAAUCUUAAGCCCAUUAAUGAUCUAAAUAAACUAAUUGUCCAAAAAAAAAGGAGUUAGGUAUUGCACAAAGCACUCUAUUUCUAGCUUUCUCUCUUAUGAUUCUUUGUCUCCAUCCUAUAGAACCUUUGCCUUGUCUAUUUUCUCUGUGUUUAUCCCAUAGGGUUAGAAGGAAGCUCUUAAAGAUUUUAAUUGGAAGGGAGCAAUGAUUGAAGAAAUAAAAAUCUUAACUAAAAAUGAGACCUGAGAAUUUAUGUCUCUUCCACUUGGAAAAAAACCAGUUAGCUGCAAAUGGGUGUUCAGUGUGAAACACAAAGCGGAUGGAUCAAUUGAAAAAUUUAAGGUCAAAUUAGUUGCCAAGGGAUACACCCAAACUUAUGGAGUAGAUUACUAGACAUUUGCCCCUGUUGUCAAAAUGAACUAUAUCAGAAUAUUGCUAUCUUACCUACCAAUCUUGACUAGGACUUACAACAAUUUGAUAUGAAAAAUGCAUUUCUCCACGGAGACUUAAAGGAGGAAUUGUAUAUGGAAAUCCCUCCUAGAUUUGCUUAUGAAAAAAUAUAAGAAAAACUGUGCAGAUUUAAAAAAGGCUUUGUGUGGACUGAAGCAGUCACCCAGAGCUUGGUUUGAUCGAUUUAGCAAAUCUAUGAUUUCCUUUAGCUAUCAACAGAGCAAUACUGACCAUACUCUAUUUAUCACACAUCACAAGGGUAAAAUUAUUGUUUUCAUAGUCUAUGUUGAUGAUAUAGUAAUGACAAGAAAUGACACUAAAGAGAGGGCUCAGCUGAAAAAGCUUUUGGGUCGGGAGUUUAAAAUUAAAAAUUUACGAAAACUUUAAUAUUUCAUGGAAAUCAAGGUUGCCAUAUCAAAAAAGAAAAUCUUUAUUUCUUAGAGAAAAUACAUUCUAAAUCUUUUGGAAGAAACUAGUAUGUUAGGCUGCAAACCAGCAGAAACUCCCAUUGAGAGCAAUCACAAGCUACAAGCAAUGAUUGGUGAAUCAGUGGAUAUUGGCAAAUACCAAAGGUUGGUAGGCAUACUAAUUUAUCUUUCGCAUAUUCGACCAGACAUAACAUAUACACUCAGCUUAGUCGGUUUAUGCAUGAUUCUCGUGAGUCCCAUAUGCAAGUUGUUUUUUUGCAUUUUGCGAUGCUUGAAGUCUGCUCCUGAAAAGGUCUCCUAUUCUCUAAACAUAGUCAUCUCCGUGUAUCUAUAUAUUCACAGAUGCAUAUUGGACUGCAUCUCUUAAUGAUAAAAGGUCGACUAGUAGUGGUUACUGCACACUUGUGGGAGGAAACCUUGUCACUUGGAAAAACAAAAAGCAAAGUGUUGCUUGAUCAAGUGCUGAGGCGGAAUAUAAAGCAAUGGCACAAAGUGUUUAUGAACUUUUAUGGUUGUAGAGAUUGUUGGAGAAAUAUUGAAACUGUUGGAGAGGGACAAACUCCUCUUUUAAUGCGACAACAAAGCUGCCUAUUGUUUCUAAGCCUGGUCUUAAAUAUUUUAUCACUUUUGUUGAUGAUUACUCUCGUGUUACCUGGUUGUAUUUGAUGAAGAAUCGUUCAGAAUUGUUUUCCAUCUUUUGAGCCUUUUGUUCUCAAAUUAAAACUCAGUUCAAUGUUCCUGUGUGGCUAUUAUGCAGUGACAAUGCCAAAGAAUAUUUUUCAAAGAACUUUCAAACCUUCAUGAACCCAAAAUAGAAUGUUUCAUUAGUCUUCUUGUAUCGAUAAACUAUCUCAAAAUGGUGAUACCGAAAGAAAAAACGGCAUCUUAAUUAAGGAAUAAUUAGAGGGUAUCAACUAUCUAGUGUUUUAUCUUGUAAUUGGGAGCUGGAACUUUUCCUGCUCGAGGGAGAAUUAUCUCCUGAACUUGUUUGGCUGUUUAUCCUUUUUAACACAACUCCUCCUUCCUUCUUGUUGGUUCUUGUGUGAUAUUACUGGUAAAAUUCCUUUUCUCUAACAGUACUCAUGUCUCCAAUUAUUAUAAGCAUGCUUACAUGAGAUUCCUUUAAACAAUCAAAUUUCCUUCCUGAACUAUAACCCAUGUUUGCUCAAGAGUGUUGACCAGCUUGAAAGCUCCUACUAACUAACAUUUUUUGCACCUUCCAAAACAAUAACCUACUUGAGUGCAGCAACAAUAAAAUAAUUUCUAGAAGGCUUGCCUAGUAAUCCAAGCUAACUUUUUAUUUAUAAUACAGAGAUCAUGUACAAAUAGAAGAAUACCUGCACAGCAGCAGCUGUUUCCAGUGCAAUAGUUUGACUGACAGAAUGGUUGCUCUCAAAAAAUUUGAUAAUCUCAUGAAUGGCAUCCUUCAAGUACUGGUCAAUAACAUUAAUCAGUAAACAAACACAACAAAAGUGUAAGCUUAUCAUCUUAUGAGAAAUAGAGAGUAGCAGCAUACGGUCAUGUAACAUGGAGAAGCUUUGACAACCAUGCUCCAGUCCACCUUAGCAUCAAAAGGCUUAUAACAGAAGGCACCAAUUAGAGAGUCCAAAGCAGUUGCACUCUGCAGGGAGAAGGGCCAAAUGAUUUUGGGUAACAUACUAAUGUCAAGGAACAAAUAAUUAGCUUUUAUGGCUUUGUAACAAGGAGGACCCCAACCUGGGCGAGAAGACCGUUUGGUGAUGAUAACUGAUAGGACCCCAGUUUCAUGUCAAAAACCUUUGUUUCUGGGUAAAGCUUAAUGGAGCAAUCAAAACCAUCACAAGAUAAUUCAGCAAGACACUUGUGGUCCUCAACAAGCUUUGAAGCAUUAUGUUGCAUGUGAACCUCCAAAUAAGUAUGAAGAGCAUCCAUCUUCUCAUUGAAUAUUACUGACUGCCCAUCAUCACCUUCCUUAUAACCUAUCAGUUUGUUAAGUUGAUCCCAGUCCUCAUCACUGAAACGAAAUUGUUCGCUUUCAUCUUUGAAAGAUUGACUGCUCCUGAAAAAGUAGACAGAGACAGAAAAUAUUACAAAUUUUACCGCAUUGCCAAUUAAAUAAAGAUCAGCUUCAAAGGAUUUUCUCAAGGAAAAGAAUAUAUAUCACCAUCCAAAUGACCACCAUGAUUUCUUUGCUUUCUGUUUCAUCGAGUCAAGUUCUGAUUCCAUUGACCGCUCCACAAACUUGUGAGCCAACAUCCUGCACAAUAUCAGGAAUCAGGAUAGCAUAAAAAUAGUCCAAUGCCAAAAAAACAAAAAACAAAAAAAACAAAAAAGAAGAGAUCUGCAGACCUAUCAUGAACAGUUGACCAUAUAACUCAUAGUAUAGGAACCAUAAGUACAUAUAGAUGCAAGCACGCACAUAUAUGGGAAUUUCAAGGCAAGGGAUAAAGUGAUGGAAUCAAACAACAGUCGUAUAACAGGAUUUUUGGGGGGGGCAUUUCCCAUGACACUGUUAUUUAAAGGCUGCCUAACAACUGUAGGUGUAACUGUAAUGGUUGUUAUGGCCUUUACAUGUAAUUCACUUUCACCCCCUUAAAAUCACAUGCCAAACAGAAGUGUUCUGCAUUCCUACGACCUCCAACAGUUUUACAGCUCUUUUUUUCAGGAUAUCUCUUUCUUUUCACUCAAAUAACACAUUCUUCCUGCAUCUUUCUCCCCAUACGCUAAGAUUUAUCAUAAACUACCUCCAUUUCAUAGUUCUUUCUUCUAAAAGUGAGUUUAUUUUUCCCUUUUUUGCUUUUAUUUUUUAUUAUUUGCUGUCUUUUGCUUUUUUUGUUGAUUAAAAUUCAUGUUGAUGUCAGAUAGAAAUGAAAGAAAAUUUAAUGAUGUUUAAGUUAUAUAGUCUUUAUUGGAUGUAUGUAUGCAUUAUUAGUCAUGUAUGCCUAUUAUAUAGUCAUGUACAUUACUUUAUUUUUCCCUUUUUCGCUUUUAUUUUUUAUUAUUUGCUGUCUUUUGCUUUUUUUGUUGAUUAAAAUUCAUGUUGAUGUCAGAUAGAAAUGAAAGAAAAUUUAAUGAUGUUUAAGUUAUAUAGUCUUUAUUGGAUGUAUGUAUCCAUUAUUAGUCAUGUAUGCCUAUUAUAUAGUCAUGUACAUUACUUUAUUUUUCCCUAAUUUAAUGAUGUUUAAGUUAUAUAGUCUUUAUUGGAUGUAUGUAUUCAUUAUUCGUCAUGUAUGCCUAUUAUAUAGUCAUGUACAUUACUCUUAUCAAAUCAAUUCAUUUCAUGAACUUUGCAAAUUGUUUUGAAAAAUUUGGGUAGCAGCAGGCAUUGCCUUUAUGUUACAGCUGGCAUAGGCCUGUUUCCAUAGACGCAUUUAAAACAAUGCGAGUCUCUAGAGGCCUAUGCAUGUAUAUUUGUCAUUUCCUCUUGGCUGUAACAGAUUUUCUCCUACCAUAAAAGAACCUUAUACAGAAAUUAGGUUAAUGAUUUUGGAAGUAUACUAUUCACAGUAUCUGAUAAUUUAUAAUUUCACUGGAAUGAACUCAGCUGGAGUCUCUAGAGUCUUAGUUUUGUGUAUUAAAGAACCUUAGUAAUUCUAGCAGUUAGUUUUAGCUGUUUAUUUGGAACCCAAGUCCUUCUAAGGAUCAAGAUUAGGGAUUCAAGUAUUUGUUGUACAGGAUUACUUCCAGUCCAGAAAUUAUUAAGCUUAAUGCUUUUUGAAGUUUUACGGUGAAUAAAAUUCACGCAAUUUAUGCUUUUGUUUCUGAGUUCCGUGAUGCAAUUCUAAUCCCAGAAAGUGUGAUGCUUUCUUAAUUGGAGUGGGUUCAAGAUUCAACCAGUGUGAGGCUAGUAGUAGUUUUUUGUUUGCCCUUUCUUCUGUUUUCUGCAAAAAUCAGAUCUGCCACCAGUCUUCUAAUCCUUUUUUGAGUUCUAUAAACUUUAAAUAUAAACCAGUCUUUCAAUCCUUUUUUUGAGUUCUCCAAACCUCAAAUCUAAUUUUCAAACACAAAAGUUUUCCCUAGUCAUCGUAAAACAAGUUAUUUCAUAAAUUAAAGGAAAAAUAACUCAGAGCACAAAAUUAACUCUGGCUAAAAGUUCAACAACAAAUAACAGUAAAUAAAAUAAAAUAAUAAUAGACACUGAACUGGUAAGUGUCCGAAAAAAUGUGCAUCACUUCUAGCUCCGACAGAUAACCACUAUACGCCUUGGACAGGAAUAUUCAGAAGCUAGUAUCUUAAAUAAUAUUUGCACAAGUGAAACUAGCAAAGUGCGUGCACAUACAUGCAUAUGAGAGCAAAAGUUUUCCAUGUUUGUCCCAGUAAAACAGUGCAGUUUAUAUAACAGAGCUUUUCUCUUUCCCUUUCCACAUUAUCAGAAUCUUAAAUAAUACUCCUGCAACUUCCACUUCCGCUGAACAAUUUUACUCGUCCACUUGCUUAACAAUGAGCAUGCACUACACAAAAUGACAAUAAUAAUAUAUCUUGCACACUUGUCAAUACCUCCACUGUAGUAUGAGUUCAAUGUCAAGUUCACGGUCCAGCUCCUCAAUUUCUUUGUUGUCAUCUAUUAUUGCCCGCUUUGGGUCAGACUUCAGCAGAGAAGCAUAUAGAGAGAUAUAUCUCUUACGUAAACUUGCAUAUCUUAGUACCUGCUCCCAGGAUAACUUCCCACUGCCACAAAUAUCAUUUCCUUAGCAACAGAAGCAAAUCAAAACCUAAAACAAGUUAUGUGGGGAAAAAAUAAAAUACAAGUACUACAAUCCCAGAACCAAUUGCAACCACCCAACCUAAAACAGAAAGUAAUAAGCCAUUGCCAAAAAUUAUCUUGAGAAAUAAAGACAAAUAGCAUUUUCUUUUUUCUUUUAUUUUUCUUUUGUGGCUUCAGCAACUUCCAUUCACACUGAAGCAGAUUGUUCAUAAACAAAGCAUCAUAAACAUUCAGGGAUUACACUUAUUUAUGCAGGGAAUAACAUUCAGGGAAUAUGAAUGGAUUUAUACUCCCUGUUUUGAGUAACAUUUCAAAGAUCAUGUACCGGAUCUGAGCACUUUUGCAUUUCAGUUUACCUCUAUAAGAAAUGGACUAGUCUAACUCAACCUUAAAAGCUAGUUCAAGCAGGAAGGAUUGCCCAAGUCUUUAUAUUUAUCUCAAUUUAUUUAUCCCAAACUGAUGUUGAACAACACAUCCCCUCAUGUCUAGACAUGAACAUUUAAAGUGUGAAGUUUACAAGAACGAACAUCUGCAAGUGGUCUAACAACAAAUCAAGAGUAGACAUUAAUAUCAUGUAGAGAAAUUAAUUUAGUGAGCCUAACCCAAUCCCAAAAACUAGUCAAAGGGAAGACUGCCCAAGUCUUUAUAUUUAGCACAAUUUCCUUAUCCCAAACCUAUUGGGAACAACAACCUCCAUGCGCUUUAAAUAAAUUUUUUAUUUUUGUCAAAAACAUGAAUGCAUGUUGUUAUAGGUUAUAGGAAGUAAAUUUUGAUAGAUAUAUCAGUUGUUUAAUCUUAGGGAGUGUAUGAUCAUAGACUUGAUUUUCCUUUUUGUUUAGUUACUGACUCUCAUGUAUAAAUAAGUUAAAAAUUUUGUAAUAUUGUAAUAUACAACAACAACAAAUAUUAUCUUUCUACAUGAUAUCAGAGCUUCACCCAUAAAGAUUUAAAAAUUUUUUGGAGACUUAGGACUCUAUUCAUUUGGGUUACCCAUAUAGAGUAACAUUUGGAUCUCACAGCCCCCCUGGGAAGGACGCCGAAGCGCCGGCGAAGCUUCCCUAAAGAGCCGACGGGCGUUCGGCUAGCGAGUGGGCCUCACGCGCCGGCGUGUGAAGGCGCAUCCCUGCUCCGUCGCUGCUCCGGUCACCAUUGACAGAGUCGCCACAACGUCCCCUUGUCAGACAUAGUUUGGCAGGUCCAAUGAGGUAGUCCAACAGUAUGGAAUGAAGACGAGUAAGUGUGAUCACUCAAUGUUUUAUAGAAAUUCUGAUAGUGGAGUAAUUCUGCUUGUAGUAUAUGUGGAUGAUAUCGUUAUCACAGGAAGUGACGUUGCUAGUAUCACAUCCCUAAAAGAAUUUCUUAAAACACAGUUUCAUACAAAGGAUUUGGGCUCCUUGAAAUAUUUCUUGAGAAUCGAAGUUAUGCGGUAUAAGAAAGGCAUCUUCUUAUCUUAAAGAAAAUAUGUCCUUGAUUUAUUGGCAGAAACAGGAAAAUUGGGUGCUAAGCCUUGUAGUGCUCCAAUGUCCCCUAACCUUCAACUUACCACAAAAGACAUUGAGUCAUUUGCAAAUCCUGAAAGGUACAGAAAAUUAGUUGGCAAGCUGAAUUCUUUGUUACCUUAAAGGGCCCCAGGGUAAGGUCUAUUCUAUAGUAACCAUGGGCACUCAAAUAUUAAAUGUUUUUCUGAUGCUAAUUAGGCAGGUUCGAAGGUUGAUAGGAAGUCAACUACUGGAUAUUGUAUUUUUGUGGGAGGUAACCUGGUCUCAUGGAAAAGUAAGAAGUAAAAUGUGGUCUCCCGUUCUAGUGCCGAAUCCGAAUAUCGAGCCAUGGCACAAGCCGUUUGUGAAGUCUUGUGAGUACGUCAACUAUUGGAAGAAGUUGGCUUCACAAAUUCGGUGCCUGCUAAGUUGUGGUGUGAUAAUCAAGCAACUAUCCACAUUGCCUCCAAUCCAGUAUUUCAUGAUAGGACUAAACACAUUGAGAUUGAUUGUCAUUUUGUUCGUGAGAAGGUCCAACAAAAGAUAAUAUCAACAGGAUAUAUCCAAAUUGGAGAAACAACUAGAAAAUAUCUUCACUAAAGCUCUAAAUGGGACUUGAGUAGAUUAUAUAUGUAAUAAGUUGGGCAUAAUUAACAUCUAUACUCCAACUUGAGGGAGAGUGUUAUAGGUUAUAGGAAGUAAAUAUUGAUAGAUGUGUCAGUUGCUUAAUCUUAGAGAUUGUAUGAUCAUAGACUUGAUUUUCCUUCCUGUUUAGAUACAGUCUUUCAUGUAUAAAUAGGUUGUAAUCUCUAUUGUAAUAUACAACAACAAAUAUUAUCUUUCUAUACAUGUUAACCAAACAGUCCAAAACUGAGCAAAUAAAACACAGCAAACUGAGUGACAAAACUCAUACACACAGAGUCAGACACAUCUCUAAAUAAUACUGAUGAACACAUUGAGUCAUGGACACAAGUCUCCGGACAAAUAUCAGCAUACACAUCUAACUGCAACUAAAUCAAGACAAAGAUAAGGUAGCUGCGCCUUAAAUAAAUUUUGUGCGAAGAAGAAUAUAAUUGAGAAGCACUUUUUUUUUGUUGCAAUAUCCAAAGCUUAUACAUAUACCACCAAUAAGCGAACCUGAUAAUUCAUGUCAACUGUCAAGUGAUUUCUAGGAUAUCUUCCUUGCAACCAGGGGUGACCAGUAUUCAGUUCAAACCGAAAAAAUCGACCGAACCGAAUUAAUUUGAAAAUUCAGUUCGGUUUUUUAUUUAUUUCGGUUUAGUUUAAUUUUUAAUUUUAAAAUUUUCGAUUAUUUCAGUUCGGUUCGGUUUUGAUCUGAAAAAAUUGAAAAAACCAAACCGAACCGAUUAGUGAUAAUAAUAUAUUAUUUUCAAUAAUUUAGAGAGAUUAGAUCAUAUUAAGGUUAAAAUAGUUCAAUUAAAUUUUAAAAUACUAAAAAUAAAGUAUAAAAAAUAAAAAAUUUAUUAAAAAUUUAAACCUAUCAAACCCAACCGAAUCGAACCGGUUCGGUUCGAUUCGGUUUCUGACCAAAAUCGAUUCGGUUUUUAUAAAUAUUAAAAUUUUGGUUUUUGAUUUAUUCGGUUCGGAUCGGUUUUGAACCGAACCGACCGAAUGCUCACCCCUACACCAUCCACCCACAAAAAAUAAGAAGAGAACAGGUCAACACAAUUAUUUUCUCCAAGCCAUGGCUUCUGUUUCUUUAGUAUCAUCCAAACUCCAAAGCUUAUCCAAAAACAGGCACAUAAAGGCAAACUCCAUAACUCACCCCAGUGAUUUCUAGGGCAUCAACCUCCAGUACCAUUCACCCACCACAAAUAAGAAGAAAACAAUCCAACACCAUUUUUUUAUAACCAAAAUCAUCAUCUGUGAGUACUAUGAAUAAGCUUAAGUUUAACUUUUUAAUUUCAUUGCCAUGCAACGGGAUGCAAUAAGGGCUUGGUGUCAUUAUGUUAAUAAAGAGUGGGUCGGAGGAAUUUUAACGAGGUCCACCACAUAAACUAGACUUCCUAGUAUCAUAUUUAUUCAGAUAUAAAAAGUUAUAAGAAUGUAUGAUAAAGCUUUUAUCUUAUCAUUAGCAACGCAUCAAAAACCAGCGUCAAAAAAUUGCAUGAUACUUUCAAAUAUCAUGUUACUAAGUAGAAGGCUAAAGAAUAGUUCAUCGCAUAACCCAAUUUAUGUUGUUAGUUAAUCAUUUUCUCAAAAAACCUCACUUUAAACCUACUCUGCAAUACUGAGCAAAAGAUAGGAUUAAUAAUUUAGGAGGUUAAUGUGGUCUAAAAACAAAAGCUCCUAAUCUGAUGCCAUGUUAAACAAUCACCUAAAUCCAAACGUAUAAGUUGCCAAAUUGCAGGAACAUUACUUAUUAUUCAUGAUAUUCAUACACACUGCAUAUAACAAUUUUCCAUAUCACUUUCAUCCAUAAAAAUACUCCAGUGAUUUUUUAACCGCAUGCACAUGAUGAAACUUGUACUAUAGAACAAAACAACUCAUGCUUUGCUCUCAAACAAGUAGGAAGAGAAGAUUUCCACCAUCUGACAUCAUAUGCAAAACCUCAGUGACUAUCCCAAGAAAGGUCACCUAAAUUUGUCACAUAUCUAUACCUAUUUUCGCAGUGUCAAAGCAAGAAUCAAAAUCUUCAUAUUGUGAAUCUGGAAUCAAAACUGAAUCAUAAGAUUCUAUAAAAGUUCUCAAAAGUAAUUAAAAUAAUUUAUAUUCUAAAAAAUAAUUAAAAAAUCAUAACAACAUGUUUUGAUAAAUGUAAAAAUAUCAAUACGCUAAUUAGACUAUGUUUUAUAAUAGAACAGUAUAUUCUUGUCAUGUUAAAUGGCUUUAUUGUUAUACAUUAUGAAAUUUUGGAUUGUAGAUGUUGAUUAUCAUUUUACAUAUGCAGAAACUCCCACUUAACUAUGAUCAAAUAAUUAAAUAAUAACAGAAAAAGAAUAGCAGGACACAUUAAACCACCAGCAAAUAUUAAUAAAAAUAUCAAAAUUUGACAAAUAUAACUAACAAAGAAAAUUCACAAAAAAAAGGAAAAAAAAAAGGGGGAUAGAGAAAAGAUUCGCACCAAUGGAAGAAAAAUAGCCAAGGGAAAGUUUAUAUUCACUUUUAAUAGCAAAAAAGAAACGAAAUACUAAAAUUAUAAAGCUAUAAAGUCCAACAAUCUUCUAGAGAAGAACUGACAGAAUCAGGUGAAGAAUCAACCUCACCUAUUAACUAUCAAUUUUUUUGAUUUAGUCACAAUUCAGGAACAUUUUUUAUUUACUCUAGAUCCAAAUCACUAGAAUGGGGAAUCAAAUCAACAACCAUACAAUUUGACUCAAAAAUCGUAAGAUUCAGGCAUAUUUAAGAUUUCCCCCACAAAUUUGAAUUGCUACGGUGAAGAAUUGAAUCAGAAGACUGUAACUAAUAAUAGUGCCUAUGUCUGCUGCAAUAACUUCUAGUGAUUUCAAUAUUUUUAUUCAGAAAGAAAAGAAUUACUAUUUCAAUACCUUGCCUUCUUCAAUUGGUCAGAGACAACUCUGUAUGCAUAAUUCCACCACAACCGUGUAUUAUAUUUUACUGGCACCAAAGGACGAUAAUGAGCAUAUUUUAAGCGUUGAUUAAAUGCAGCAAAAUUGUCAGCUAAUUUUAAAAUAUCCCUGUAUCCAUCCUGCAAAACAAAGAGAUAACUUAAUGAAAAACCUCAUGAUCCUACUGCUCUCAGAGCAAAAGCAAACAUGAUGCAGAAGACCAGUGAAGACCUUUGACAAACAGAGUGUCACAUCAUCCAAGUUCACUUCUGCUUUCUGGAGAGGCUGGCCUCCAUUAACAGAUUCAUUCGACCUCAACUUUGAGUACUUAGCAUUUCCAGUCACUGGUUGCAGAAUGUAUGAGUGCUUUUUCAUUAUAGAAUCUGACGGUUUACCAUCUUUUGUACCAAACCUAAAAACCUGAAGUUCCAUGGAAACUUGAAAAUAAAUAUCAUUUACGGAGCCAAGAUAAACAUAAAGCAAAACCAAAUAGUUCCUAAAACUAAUGUAACAAAAAUACUGAAAAUAUGAUACCUGAACCCACUCAGAAGGACGCAAGUUCUCCCAUGGUUUGCUAAUAUACCAUGGUGAUAUAUCAGAAUCCAGAUAAAUAGCAAGUUGAUCAAGUUCAACAGACUGAAAAAGAGCAGAACACAGAAAAUUACCCAAAACAGUGGUAACACACAAUCCAACACUGAAAUCAUUAAUCCAGUGUAAGGGGACAGUGACAAAGAAAACCUUGAUGCUAUUUCCAGGACAAGAUUCAUCCCACAAGCAAGCACAGAUCCUCUAAAGUUUAAAGUAUUAAGAACACUGAACACAGUAAGUUGCAAUCGCUAUCAGCCCUCAUCUAAACAUUUUGCAACAUGAAGAAUUUUAGAGUAUUUUUGUAUUUUCCUCUUAAUCUUUACAAGUGAUUUAUAUGACUAUUUACAUACAAAGAAUUAUGACUAAAAAAAAAAAAGCAAAUAAUUAAAUAAUUACAAAAAUAAUUAAGGAUCUUAAUUUAGGCCUAGAAUCAAUAAUCAAAUUAAAUUAUAUCAGUAGAAAUCAGCAAAUAAGUCAACACUCCUCCUCAAGUUGGUGAACAGAAUCAAAUUAUAAUAGGUUCUAUUAUUGAGCCAUUUAGUAAAUACAUCCGCAAACUGCUCAAGACACAGUCUAUUAUUUUUUCUUCAAUGAAGUGUUGAUCGAUCACAAUGUUCUUCAUUCGGUGAUAUUGAACUGGAUUUUGUUCUAUACUUAUGGCAGCUUUGUUGUCACAAUACAAAAUUAUCUUGUCUCUCUCGAGUAAUCUCAGCUCUUCCAAUAACUUUUGCAACAACAAAAGUUUACACACGCCUUGAGCCACUACUAUGCAUUCUGCUUCACCACUUUACCGAGCAACACUUCUUUAUUUUUUGGCCCUCCAGCUGACAAAAUUCCCUUCCACAACCGUGCAGUAUGCAGAGAUUGAUCUCCUAUCAUUGAGAGAUCUACACAAUCUACAUCUGUAAAAGUUUCAACUCAGAGAUGAUCAUGGUUGGCGUAAAGAAGUCAUUUUCCUGAUGCAGACUUUAGAUACUUCAAGAUGCGAAAGACAGCCUGCAUAUGAGUCUCAGGGUCAAGCAUGAAUUGGCUGGCUGACUAAGCUAACAGCAUAGACUAUAUUCGGUCGAGUGUGUGAGAGAUAAAUCAACCUCCCUGUCAAUCUUUGGUAUCUUCCAAUAUCCACAGACUCACUUGUAUCUUGUGAUUACUUUCAAUGAGAAAUUCUAUUUGUUUACACCCCAACACAACAAUUUCUUCCAAAAGAUUUAGAAUGAACUUUUUGGGGAGAUAAAAGAUCUCUUUUUCUGAUCUAGUCACCUCAAUACCUAAAAAAUAUUGAAACUUUCCCAUAUUUUUUAUUUUAAAUUCUUGAGCCAACAACCUUUUUAGUUGAGUCAUUUCCUCUUUAUCAUCACCUGUCACCACUAUAUCAUCAACAUACACUAUAAGAAGAGUGGUCUUAUACACAGAGUAUGAUCAACAUUGCUCUGUUGGUAACCAAAGGACAUCAUGGCUCUACUAAACCUAUCAAACCAAGCUCUGGGAGAUUUUUAUAGCCCAUAUAAAGCCUUUUUUAAUUUGCACAUCUUUCCUUGUGUCUUCUCAUCAGCAAAACCAGGAAGGAUCUCCAUGAACACCUUUUCAUCUAAAUCUCUAUAAGGGCCGCAUCUCCUCAAUAUGCUUUGGGUAGGUUCAUGGUAAACAAAAGAGAUCGAGCUACCUCCAAUAGAUACUUAUUUUUCCUUUCAGCAACCACAUUUUGUGCAUUAGUAUAAGACCAACUUGUCUAGUGUACUAUCCCAUUGACUCUUUAUAAGCAGAAAACCUACUAUCCAUAUAUUCUCUUCCAUUGUCAGUUCUCAAAAUUUUCACCUUAGUAUCAAAUUGAGUACAAAUCAUCUUGUGAAAAGAUUGAAAAUAAGAAAAAACAACACUUUUAACUUUAAUCAAAUACACCUAAAUCAUUCGAGUGCAACAAUCAAUAAAAGUGACAAACCAUUGAUUACCAGAUAAGGAGACAGUUUGAGUAGGCCUCCAAAUAUCAGAAUGAAUAGUCACAAAAAGAAUUUGACUUUUAUUAUCACUCAACGGAUAGGAGGUUCUAUUGUGCUUAGCAUACUCACAAGCAUCAUAAAAUAAAGAACCAAAUUGAGUUCUAGCAAACAAACUAGGAUAAAGUUUUUCUAAGAUAAAAAACAAUGAACGCCCUUACCGUCUGUGCUAUAUGUCUAUUCGCACCAGAAUCAAUAAUCCAUGAGCCAGUAUCAAGAGAGAAAGCAUUACCUAACUUCACAAAAUUAUAUGUGGCACCAAAAGCGGAAGAGGUGUCAAUAUGAGACAGGAGGCGCUUGAAAUUGUAAAUUUCAGCUGUUGUUCUCUUUAAAGGGCUCCUCCACAGUUUCUAAUAAAUUAGUGUGAACUCUAGAGGUACCUCGUUUCCCCCCAUAGCCCCUAGUAGGAUGACCAUAUAACUUUCAACAAGUCUCCUUAGCAUGCCUCGGUUUCCCAUAAUAGUCACGAUGCAAGUGAACUUUCUCAAAAUUAGGAGGCUGCAGUGUGCUCAAACUUGUAGCCAACCCAGCCACUUCAACUGGUACAGUAUAAAGCAUCGCAUGCCGGUGUUUGGGUCAGGCCUAACUCACCCCAAAAGCUAGCUCAAGAGGGAGGAGUGCCUAUAGCCCAUAUAAGGGGCACAUUACCCCUUUCCACAAUCGAUGUGGGAUUCAACACACCCCCACGCCCAGAAUUUUUACUGGUGCGUGGCACAUUUAUGGGGCACCCAACAUCGGAUGGAGAGGCUCUGAUACCAUGUUAAAUUUGGGUCAGGCCUAACUCACCCCAAAAGCUAGCUCAAGAGGGAGGAGUGCGUAUAGCCCAUAUAAGGGGCACAUUACCCCUUUCCACAAUCGAUGUGGGAUUCAACACCAGCCAUUUCAACUGGUACAGUAUAAAGCAUAGCAUGCCGGUGACUUUCCUCUUGUUGAAGAUAGACAUGGGCCUCUUCUAGUGAAUAAAAAGGGUUUUUACCUAACACUUGGACUCGAAUUGGAUCAUAUUCAUUAUUCAACUUUACAAAACAAUUAUAGACGCGCUCCUUUUUAAUCAUUUUUCGAAAAUCACUACAUCUCCAGUACACUCUGCCUGAAAGUGCAGAUAGUAAUCAAGCUCCUGCCAUCAACCACAUAACUCAGAAUAAAAUUGGGAGACAGUCAUUUUUCUUUGCUUAAUACUAUUGAUCAUAUUUCGAAUAUUAUAAAUUUAGUCAUCAUUCUCAAUCUUGGAAUAAGUCAAGAACAAAGCCUUCCAUAUCUUUGCAACAGUAUCAAGUAAUAGGACUUAUAGAUAUGAGAUUGCAUAGAGUUAAGUAAUCAAGUCAUAACAAGACAAUUAUCUGAGUCCCAUUGAGGAAAAUCUGGAUCAAUCUUAUCCGGUUGCUUCUUAUUACUAGUGACAUAGCUCUGCAAUCCUCUAGCCUUGAAAAACAACAAACAAGACCUUGACCAAGCAAGAUAAUUGGUUCCAUCAAGUUUUGCAGGACUAAUUUGCAAGGAAGGGCUAUCAGAGUUAGGAAUCAAGACCUUUUUACCUUCUGCCAUGAUAAAAAUGAACUGUGAAAGAAUAAAAGGUACCCAAGAUCGUACACAUAAGAGAGUCUUAACCAAAUCACCAAGAGACCAGGUAGCGGCAUGGGAUGGCCAAAAAGAGGUCGGAAAUGGCAGCCCGAGUGGACUGGGCAGGAAAGUAGUGUAAGACAGAAGCUCAUGCGCAAGGAAGGAAAGGCGCAUGAUCCUCACACACAUGGAGUUGCGGCAUCGAAGUUAGGCAGCUGGCCAGCGACAGUCCGAUGACUCUGCUGGUGGCAGCAAUGAGAUGAAAAAAAGUCCCUAGAUAAGGCAGUACCAAAUAGGUAGAUCUAGAGUUUAGAAAUUCUAAAAAGAAAAAAUUAAAUUUAAACCCUAAAAUAAGGAAAAGGCUCUAAUACCAUGAAGAAUUUUAAAGAAUUUUAAAGUAUUUUUGUUUUUCACUCUUAAUUUUUACAAGUGAUUAUAUGACUAUUUAUACACAAAGAAUUAAGACUAAAAAGAAAGCAAAUAAUCAAAUAACUACAAAAAUAAUUAAGGAUCCUAAUUUAUUCCUAGAAUCAAUAAUCAAAUCAAAUUAUAUCAUUAGAAAUCAGCAAAUAAGUCAACACAACAUUAUGUAUGUAUCAGUUUGGUACUUAGAAUAAACUAAUUAUUUCUAUCUAAAAAUUGAACAGGAAACAGUGUUCCAGAGCUUCUCCAUGAUAGACUAUUUAUAUACCCAAAAAAAGAUUGACUAUUCAUGUAUGCAACAUAAAUAUGAACCUUCUGAACCCGGUCCAGAGUACCCCCAAUUACAAAAGUUUCCAUUCCAUUAUCGUCUACCGUCACAGCAGAGAGUCUCCCUAAGGAUAAACCAGCAGCAAAUGGGUGGCCAGGAUUGCUACAAUAAGGAGAAAAGUUUCGAAUCAAGUUAAUAAAACAUCAAGAGUUGACACUAAAAGGAGAGAGCACACCUUUCAAGGUCUUCAUAUCUGAUAUGGAUAUUCGAAAUUGAAAGCUUCAGAUUCCCAAUUAUGGUGUUGAUAAGGGACCCCAACCACGUCGUAUUCUUCAAAAGUCAAACAUGCAAAAACCCAACGCAGAGUAAGUUACAACCAAAUUCAGGAUAUAGGAUUUUUCAGAAAUGAAAAUAACAAAAAGAUCAAAAGAUUAGUAUAAAGUACUAUAUAGUCCCUGAGUUACAUUAAAAUUAACACAGUCCUUGAUUUUUAAAAGCAAUUAUUCACCCUAACUUUCAUUUAAGUCCUUCCAUCUAAUUUUAAGUCAUUUUCCAUUAAGUCAAUGGUAAUUCAAUGAUCAAAUGAUAGAGAAAUGUUUUAAUUCCUACAAUACCCUCAUCUUACCUAAUUACUCUCUCACCUCUCUCCUUCCUGUUCAUCCACCAUAGCUACAAAGACUCACUCCUCAAAACCUUCAGCAAAUUUACUACAAAACUAGAAAGAGCAAGUUCANNNNNNNNNNNNNNNNNNNNNNNNNNNNNNNNNNNNNNNNNNNNNNNNNNNNNNNNNNNNNNNNNNNNNNNNNNNNNNNNNNNNNNNNNNNNNNNNNNNNNNNNNNNNNNNNNNNNNNNNNNNNNNNNNNNNNNNNNNNNNNNNNNNNNNNNNNNNNNNNNNNNNNNNNNNNNNNNNNNNNNNNNNNNNNNNNNNNNNNNNNNNNNNNNNNNNNNNNNNNNNNNNNNNNNNNNNNNNNNNNNNNNNNNNNNNNNNNNNNNNNNNNNNNNNNNNNNNNNNNNNNNNNNNNNNNNNNNNNNNNNNNNNNNNNNNNNNNNNNNNNNNNNNNNNNNNNNNNNNNNNNNNNNNNNNNNNNNNNNNNNNNNNNNNNNNNNNNUCCAUUCCCAUCUUCUUGUCUCCAGGUACUCGAGCCCCAACUAGGUUUAAUCUUUGUAAGCAAUUUUCUUUAUUUUUACCUUUUUGGAUUUAUACGUUUUUGGAUCCAACUCAUCUUCUUUUAUAGAAAAGCAUGAAUUGAUACCUACAAUGAGUGUGUCAUAGGAAGUAAAUAUGGAUAAAAUAGAUCUAUUAGUUGCUUAAUCUUAGGGAUUGCAUGAUCAUAGAUUUGAUAAAAGGAUUCCCUUUCCUUUUUAGAUAGGUUUUUUUAUGUAUAAAUAUGUUGUAAUAUCUAUUACAAUAGACAAAAGAAAUAUUACUUUUCUACAUUAUAUCAGAGCCUUAUAGACAAAAUAUUUGAAUUUUUUCCUCUAUUCUAAUUAUAUAAUAAUAUUUGAAUUUUAAAUUAAAUUAAAUUUUAACUAUAUAAUAAUAUUAACAAACUAAAGUCGAGCUCAAGCUCCGCUCAUUUAUAUUAUAACGAGAUUGAGAUCUGCUGAUCUCGAAUCAAUUUCAAACUUAUUAUAUUUAUAACAAGUUGAGCACAAGCCUACAAAAAAUAUAAUAGUCGACCUAGAGUUGUUCAAAGAUUGGCCCAACUAGUUUACAACCCGUUUUAAAAGUUUUAAGCAUAAAAGCUAGCAACUCUUUACAAUCAGCAUCUUUAACUAGGAUUUGCAUGACAUAGCAGACAAAUGUCGUACCACUUCUGAUUUCAAUAAUUGUGCUCGCUCCAAUAGCUUCAUUUCCAUUUCCUGUGCCCAAAAGAAUAAAGAAGUCAAUACAUCAUCCAGAUAUGUUCUAUAAUGAAAAUCAAUUUAUUCAUUGGUCAACAUGUCUUACCCGUACACGACUUCUCUUUGCUUCUUGGACUGCAUCCUCACUACGUCCCUCAACUUGUGUUGCAGGUUCUGCCAAUAAAAAAAUUUGAUCCAGGUAAACUAAAACAGGAUCCUGGCCAAGCCUGCUCCAUGGAACCUGGAAUUGAAAUAUCUCAUGUAUAUUUCUUGAGCAUGCAAAAAACAUCUACACAAUAAGCCUACACAAGUAAACAAUCUCUCAAAUUAGGUGGAAAGCAGAGUAGAGCUGGAGAAUAAAAAACAUAAAAUUUCCAUCUAGCAUAUUAUUUACACUAAUUACUUUUCUUAACAGGUUAUUUUAUCAGUUUACAGAGGAUUGUGAAUAAAGUGUGCUGGAUGCAUACAAAUAUAAGGAAUGGUAAGGAAUUACAUCUGAAUUUCUACCAUCAACAUCAGAUUGCUUCUUCUGCAACAUAUAUUUGCAAAUUAAAUAGAAUGGAACAGCUUCUCUGACAUUCUCCCCUAAAGGGGAACCAUUCCAAGAAUUAUCAAUAUUAAUCAAUCUUUCUUUCUACUAUCUUUCUCUAUCUAAUUCUCUCUGCUCUGCAUUUCUCCCCUUUCGUUCUCUCUCCUUUCUUCUAUUUUCUCUCCCCUUUCCUCUCUUUCUAACUUGUUAGGGAUUCAAUCCAUAACAAAUGGUAUCAGAGCCAACGAUUUGGAGGCCUAUAUUCCAGGUUCUUUCUAUUCUCUAUUCUUCUUCUCCUCUCUGAAUUUCUUCUUUCUUCUUCCCAGAUAUUUCUUCCCCUCUUUCCUCUGCUCCUCUUUCCCUGGAUUUUCUUUCCUUCUUUUACCUGAAAUUUCUCCAUUUUUCUUUUCCCUCUUGUCUUCUCUCCUUCUUAACAGAUCAUGUUUCUCCUUCUUUCUUUCUUUCUUUUUUUUUACUUUCUUGAAUCAGAUUUACUUCUUCCUUCGUUAGUUUCUGGUUAAUCCUUUGGUUCUUUUUGAAGUUUUCACUUUGUUCAUUUCAAGAAACCUAUUUCUUGAAGUUCUUGAAAUUUCAAGCUAUGGUUUUUAUUGAAACAAGAUUUUUUUUUUCUGCAAUCUUUUAAGUUCUUAUUUCUUCCCCAAUUUUUCUUGAAAUUCUUCUUCUUCCUACUUUCUUUAUUUCCCCGAAAAUUUCCUCCUUGAGUUCCCAUUUUGCUUCUUCAGAUUACUCUUUCUUGAUUUUCUUUGUUUUCUUGAAAUUCUUGAAUUAUGGAACAGCAAUAUUUGGCAUAAAGUUUUCUUGAUAGCAUUCAAGGAAUUCUAGAUAGAAGAUUAGCAGAACGAAAAGAGCAGUUGGAACAAAAAUUCAAAAAAGUGAUUCAGAAAAUAGAUGAGAAAAUGGAAAGAUUUGAGCAAUCAAUUCAAGUGACAAAGGAAAAAAAUUGCAAUCUUGAUCAAUGAAGUUCAAAUUUUUGAAAUGCCUAGUGAAGAGCAAGAUGUCUCACGUGAAACUUCUAAUAAGAAAGACAAAGCCAUUGAGGAGCAGCAGGAGCUUUUUGUUGACAUGUCGAAUGUAAGUGAGAUCAAUGAGGAGCAGAAUGAUGAAGAUGGUGAUGAUGGGCAACUAGAGUCUGAAACGAGGACAAUAUUAGUUGAUUCUGAGAUGUUUGCACAAUUCAGUCUUAAAACUGAGCUUUUGUUACUCAAAUUCUAGAAAAUGUUAUUGGGGAAAAAACAAGAUAAAGAUGUUACAAAAGGUGUGGGUGUUGGAACAUUUGGUAGUAUUUUUGGAGCCAAGAUGGUGAGUACAGCUGUUGUCAUCCUGGAAUUCUUAUGGAAGAUAAAUGGGAAAUAGCAAGAAGAGAAAGGAAGAAGGUUAUGACAUCAAAUUCUAUUGUGAUCUUGAAGGAACAAGCAUAGGAAAUUUGGAGAAGGAAAAGGAAGAAAAUAUAGCAUCUUCAACCAAGCUUUAUGGGUCAUUUCAGCUAAACAACAAAAAGGAAAAAAAAAAAAUUCCUUGUCAAUAAAGAGUCCAUAAAACCACCCACAACUUCAGCCCAACUUUCUGGAACAUUUCAGCUGAAGCAUGUGCUAGAAGUUAACAUUUGGGGUUCUAAAUUCAGGUGAUCAACUAACCAACAAAAAGCUGCUGUGUAGGAUAUUCACAUCCUUCUAACCAAGUCUGAGGAAAGAAGCAACAGAAAUUCAUUUCAAUUUUCAGCAUUUUCUUCAUUCUUGAGGACAAGAAUGAUUUCAAAAAGUGGGGAAUGUUAUGAUAAGGAGAAUAAAGGGUGUUAGAAAAUAAACAGAAGGUAUUUAAGGUUGAAAUUGUAAUAAAAGGAAGGAGUAGAUGAUAGUAAACUUAACUAGGAAUUAGUUAGAGAGUGGAGUGGCAAGAACAGUUAUUUUAGAGAUCUAAAAGCCGUAUAAAUAACAGCUACUGUAACUAAAGGGGACCCAUUCCAAGAAUUAUCAAUAUUAAUCAAUCUUUCUUUUUACUAUCUCUCUCUUUCUAAUUCUCUCUAUUCUGCAUUUCUCCCCUUUCUUUCUCUCUUCUUUCUUCUAUUUUCUCUCCCCUUUGCUCUCUUUCUAACUUGUAAGGGAUUCAAUCCUUAACACACCACUCUUUACAAGGGAAAUAGAAGAAACAUAGUACAGAGUAUCAACAUACUUUAGUAGCAAAGAAAUGCAGUCAAAAUGAUCGUCUUCUUACAUCUCCAAAAACUCUAGAAAUCCAAGUACUUGUUUGGCAUAAAUCAAUGCAAGGCACCUUAUCAUGCCAACUCCCACAUGAAAGCUUGGAUCCUAUAAUCUUGUACUUUUCCGUCACACACUUAAUUUAAGUCUCAAGAAUUUUCGAGAGAAAUUUUUUAUUCUAUUCCAAUGGAAUUGAUCUUUAACACUUAAUUUAAGUCUGAAGAAUUUUUGGGAGAAAUUUUUUAUUCUAUUCCAAUUAAAUUGAUCUUUAUAAGAUUUGAGUAUUUAUAUACAAAAAAUCAACCUAAAAUAGGAAUAUUUACAAUAAUAAUAAAAUCUCUAUAAUUAAGCCCUAUAAUAAACCCUAAUUAGGAUCCUAAAUAUCUGAUCUCCAAAUUAGGAACCUUUUAUGUUGGUCAAUGCUCCCUUUCAAGUUGGUGCAUAAAUAUCACACAUGCCUAAGUUGGGCAUAUCAAGGUGUGAUAGGUCUUAUUGUUGAGUCCUUUGGUAAAUAUACCAGCUAACUGUUCAUCGGAAGUCAUAUGAUCUAGUCUCAAGACACCAUUUAUUAACUUCUUCUUAAUGAAGUGUUGAUCAAUCUCUAUGUGCUUCAUUCGGUCAUGUUGAACCGGAUUGUGAGCUAUACUGAUGGCAGCUUUGUUGUCACAGUAUAAGAGGAGUUUGUCCCUCUCCAACAGUUUCAAUUCCUCCAACAAUCUCUGCAACCAUAUGAGUUCAUAAACACCUUGUACCAUUACUCUAUAUUCUAUAUUCUGCUUUAGCACUUGAUCGAGCAACAAUUCUUUGCUUUUUGCUUCUCUAAGUGACAAGAUUUCCUCCCACAAGUAUGUGGUAACCACUAGGGAUCUAGCCCAAUUUGCAUCUGUGAAUGUGUGUAUGUGGAGAUGACCGUGUUUAGAGAAUAGGAGACCUUUUCUAGAAGCAGACUUUAAGUAUCGCAAAAUACAAAAAACAACUUGCAUGUGCAACUCACGAGGGUCAUGCAUAAACUGACUGACUAAGCUGACUACAUAUGCCAUGUCUAGUCAACUAUGCCAAAAAUAAAUCAGUCUGCCUACCAAUCUCUGAUAUCUGUCAAUAUCCACUGAUUCACCAAUCCCUCCUUGUAGCUUGUGAUUGCUCUCAAUGAGAGUUUUUGCUAGUUUGCAACAUAACAUACCAGUUUCUUUCAAAAGUUUCAGAAUGUAUUUUCUCUGAGAAAUAAAUAUUCCCUUCUUUGACCAGUGAACCUCAAUUCCUAGGAAAUAUUAUAGUUUUUCUAUAUCUUUAAUUUCAAACUCCCGAGCCAAAAGCUUUUUCAGAGAGCUAUCUCUUUAGUGUCAUCCUCUGUCAUUACUAUAAACUAUGAGAAAAGUAAUUUUACUGACAAAUAGAGUAUAAUCAGUAUUGCUCUAUUGAUAGCCAAAGAAAAUCAUAGCUCUGUUGAAUCGAUCAAACCAAACUCUGGAUGACUGCUUCAACCCAUACAAAGCCUUCUUUAGCCUGCACAUUUUCCUUGUAUUUUUUCAUCAGCAAAUCCAAGAGAAAUUUCAAUAUAUACUUCCUCCUCCAAGUCUCCAUGAAGGAAUGCAUUUUUCACAUCAAAUUAUUAUAGGUCAUAGUCAAGAUUGGCAGUGCAAGAUAGCAAUACUCUAAUUGAGUUCAUUUUGGCAACAGGAGCAAAUGUCUCUUGGUAAUCUACCCCAUAGGUUUGAGUGUAUCCCUUGACAACUAGUCUAAUCUUAAAUCUUUCAAUUGAUCCAUCUACUUUGUAUUUCAUAUUGAAAACCCACUUGCAACCAACUAGUUUUUUUUUUUCAGGUGGAAGAGACAUCAACUCCCAGGUCUCAUUUUUAGCUAAGAAUUUCAUUUUUUCAAUCAUUGCUCACUUCCAAUUAAAAUCUUUAAGAUGCCUUCCAAUCCUGUGAGAUAGACACAGAGAAAAUAGAGAAGACAAAUACUCUAUAGAAUGGAGACGAAGAAUCAUAAAAGAGAAAGUUAGAAAUAGAGUGUUUUGUACAAGAUCUAACUCCUUUUUUUUUUAGCAAUUGAUUUAUUUAAAUCAUCAAUAGGCUCAAGAUUUAGGGAUGACUAACCAGAUGGAGAAGAGGAAGAUUCAUGAUAUUGAGUAGGCUGCACAAUACCUUUUUCUGCUUCUGUUUUGUCUCUUCUUGAAUAUCUCCUCAAAUCUGGUUUAUCCAAACGCCCAAUUUGAUCACCAAAAGACCAAUAGUCUCCCCUGUAUAAUAGUCUCUUAAUCACCAAUAGUCUCCCCCUAUAUAGUAGUCUCCUCUAGAGUAAAACGUUAUAGAGUUAAAGAACUAGAAAUCAUCUCUUCUCUCUCAUUGUCCUCCCUUGAAGAAAUGAUAGGGUGGUACCGAAGUAAAGUUCAGUCUCUCUAAACGUAACAUCUAUACUAACAAAGUAUUUUCUAAAUUGAGGGUGAUAAUAUUUGUAACCCUUCUGUGUGAGAGAUUACCCAACAAACACACAUUUAAGAGCCCUCGGAUCAAGCUUUUCACCUGUCCUAGUAUGAACAAAACAUGUGCAUCUAAACACCUUUGGUGAAACAGUAUAAACAUUUUUCCCUUGUAGCACCUCUAAAGGGCUUUUAAAGGCAAGAGUUUUGAGAGGCAUUCUAUCAGUGAGAUAAGUUGCGACUAAGACUACAUCUCCCUAAUAGAUUUUUGGAAAAUUCAUGGUGAAAAGGAGAAAUCUGACUACUUCCAACAGGUGCCUAUUUUUCCUUUCAGAAACACCAUUUUGAGCACUAGUGUAAGGCAACUAGUUUGAUGUAGUAUCCCAUUAGACUCCAGAUAAGCAGAAAAACGUUCAUCCAUGUACUCUGUGCCAUUAUCAGUUCUCAAUACUUUAUUGUAGCAUCAAAUUGAGUACAAACCAUCUUGUAAAAAGAUUGAAAGCAAGAAAACACAUCACCCUUUGCCUUUAUAAAAUAAACCCAAGUCAUACGAGUGCAACAAUCAAUAAAAGAAACAAAUCAAUGAUUAAUUGAUAGGGAGAUUGCUUGAGUAGGUCCCAAAUGUCAGAAUAGAUUAUCACAAAAGGGAUCAUACUCCUAUUGCUACUGGAGGAAUAAGAGGUUCUUGUAUGCUUAGCAUAUUCACAGGAAUCACAAAUUAAAGAACCACAGUGAGCCUUGAAAAAUAAAUCAGGAUAAAGUUUCUUUAAAACAAAAAGGAUGGAUGUCCUAACUAUCGAUGUCACUGUAUA